rnacentral:lncRNA from 1 species
AUGGAGCAUUAUGACGCGAUGGCUACCAGAAGAGUCCAGCCAUCCUAAUGAGAGGAGGGCAACUUGUCGGCCCUCUUCUUCUUCCUUUAAUUUCACUUUUCCCUUAUUUAUUUAAAUAGUAAUUUAAGUCCAAAAAAUAAAUCACAGAUCCUUUAAAAUAAAUAAAUAAAAAAUAUAAAUCUUUUAUGAAAUUUGGGAAUGGAUUUUGAUCGUGAUGGCUCUGAUCAUAAGCAUCUGAUC